rnacentral:lncRNA from 1 species
UUCUGGAUCCAUGGAGAUCCCAAAGUUCCUGAUCCAUUGGGAAUUGGGGAUCCCAAAGUUCUCAUCCCACAGGGAAUUCCAGAUCCCAAAGUUCUGGAGCCGUUGGGAAUUGGGGAUCCCAAAGUUCUCGAUUCAUUGGGAAUUGGGGAUCCCAAAACUUCUCAGUCCAGGAGGAUCCCAAAGUUCUCAACCUGUUGGGAAUUGAGGAUCCCAAAGUUCUGGAUCCAUGGAGAUCCCAAAGUUCUGGAUCCGUUGGGAAUUGGGGAUCCCAAAGUUCUGGAUCCACAAGGAAUUGGGGAUCCCAAAGUUCUCAGUCCAUGGAGAUCCCAAAGUUCUGGAUCCAUGGAGAUCCCAAAGUUCUUGAUCCACAGGGAAUUGGGGAUCCCAAAGUUCUCAGUCCAGGAAAACCCACCUGGAGCAGGAGAGCCCCAGAACCAACUCCAGGAUCGAGGCCCUGGAAGAUCUCCCAUGGAAGAACCUCCAGAGAUCCACCAGGACAAACCCUUUGCUGGAACAUCUCCUGGGAUCCACCUGGAGAAAUCCUCCCCUGGAAGAACUUCCCGUGUCCACCCAGAGCAACCUUUGCUGGAAGAUCUCCUGGGAUCCACCUGGAAAAUCCUUCCCUGGAACAGCCUUGGGAUCCACCAGGAGAAACCCUUUGCUGGAACAUCUUCCAGGAUCCACCUGGACCAAUCCUCCCCUGGAAGAACUUCCCGUGUCCAUCCAGACCAGUCCUUUGCUGGAACAUCUCCUGGGAUCCACCUGGUCAGAUCCUCCCCUGGAAGAACCUCCUGACAUCUCCCCACCCAACCCUCCCACACCACGUCCCCCACCCCAAUGACGGUCCAACAGCAUCAUGGUGGCCACAAUCAUGAUGAGCAGGAUCACAGUGACCACAAUCAUGGUGACCAGGAGCAAGGUGACCAUGAUCAUGGUGGCCUCCAUCCCAAUGACCAUGAUCAUGGUAACCAGGACCAAGGUGACCACCCAUCACGAUGACCGCCAUCUUGGUGGCCCCCAUCACGCUGACCAGGCUCACGAUGACCGGGAUCAUGGUGGCCACCACCACAAUGGCCAUGAUGAUGGUGACCACAAUCAAGAUGACCACCCAUCACGAUGACCGGGAUCAAAGUGACCAUGAUCACAGGGGCCACCACCAUGAUGACCAUGAUCAUGGUAACCAGGACCAAGGUGACCACCCAUCCCAAUGACCAGGAUCAAGGUGACCAGGACCAAGGUGACCACCCAUCACACUGACCACCCAUCACGAUGACCACCAUCUUGGUGGCCACCAUCACGCUGACCAGGAUCACGAUGACCGCCAUCUUGGUGACCUCCAUCCCAAUGACCAGGAUCAAGGUGACCAACUAUCACGAUGACCGCCAUCACGGUGGCCUCUAUCACAAUGACCAGGAUUAAGGUGACCACCCAUCAUGAUGACCAUGAUCAUGGUGACCAGGACCAAGGUGCCCACCCAUCACGAUGACCGCCAUCUUGGUGGCC